CCUACGGGGGGCAGCAGUGGGGAAUAUUGCGCAAUGGGCGAAAGCCUGACGCAGCGACGCCGCGUGAGGGAUGAAGGUCUUCGGAUCGUAAACCUCUGUCAGCAGGGAAGAACGGUCACUGUGCUAAUCAGCAUUGAAUUGACGUUACCUGCAAAGGAAGCACCGGCUAACUCCGUGCCAGCAGCCGCGGUAAUACGGAGGGUGCGAGCGUUAAUCGGAAUUACUGGGCGUAAAGCGCUCGUAGGCGGUAUGUCAAGUCAAGGGUGAAAUCCCCGGGCUCAACGUGGGAACUGCAUUUGAAACUGGCAAACUGGAGUGUGUGAGAGGAUAGUGGAAUUCCAGGUGUAGGAGUGAAAUGCGUAGAUAUCUGGAGGAACAUCAGUGGCGAAGGCGACUAUCUGGCACAUAACUGACGCUGAGGAGCGAAAGCGUGGGUAGCAAACAGGAUUAGAUACCCCUGUAGUC
rnacentral:rRNA from 1 species